rnacentral:lncRNA from 1 species
CUUAUAACUAAAAUCACACUCAGAAAAACCUAUUUUCUCCAACUCGGGAGCAGGCAUCAGGCAACAUGCUGUUGUUUCAUCUAGGAUUUUAGUUCGUACGGUUUUUAGUGGGUAAUUCUUGACUAAGUGCAUGAUAUUCUGGGAGAAUGGGGUUGAAGCCUUAAUUCAGAGGGCUGAGACUAGGGAUCCUAAGGCCAGCACCAUCAGCAAGCAUUCUCUGAUGUCAUCCCAUAAUCCAAAGCUUGCUCUGUCUCUCAUCCUUUCUGCG